CGGCGAGUGAAGCGGCAACAGCUCAAAUUUGAAAUCUGGCGGCCUCUGGGCCGUCCGAGUUGUAAUUUGAAGAGGAUGCUUUUGGCGAGGCGCCUUCCGAGUGCCCUGGAACGGGACGCCACAGAGGGUGAGAGCCCCGUAUGGUUGGACGCCGAGCCUCUGUAAAGCUCCUUCGACGAGUCGAGUAGUUUGGGAAUGCUGCUCAAAAUGGGAGGUAAACCCCUUCUAAAGCUAAAUACUGGCCAGAGACCGAUAGCGCACAAGUAGAGUGAUCGAAAGAUGAAAAGCACUUUGAAAAGAGAGUUAAAUAGCACGUGAAAUUGUUGAAAGGGAAGCGCUUGCGACCAGACUUGUGCCCGUCGAAUCAGCCGCCGCUCGCCGGCGGCGCACUUCGGCGGGCUCAGGCCAGCAUCAGUUCGCUGCAGGGGGAGAAAGGCGGCGGGAAUGUGGCUCUUCGGAGUGUUAUAGCCCGCCGCGCAAUACCCCUCGGCGGACUGAGGACCGCGCAUCUGCAAGGAUGCUGGCGUAAUGGUCGUCAGCGACCCGUCUUGAAACACGGACCAAGGAGUCGUCCUAAUAUGCGAGUGUUCGGGUGUAAAACCCCUGCGCGUAAUGAAAGUGAACGGAGGUGAGAGCUUCGGCGCAUCAUCGACCGAUCCUGAUGUUCUCGGAUGGAUUUGAGUAAGAGCAUAUUGGGCCGGACCCGAAAGAAGGUGAACUAUGCCUGUAUAGGGUAAAGCCAGAGGAAACUCUGGUGGAGGCUCGCAGCGGUUCUGACGUGCAAAUCGAUCGUCAAAUAUGGGCAU
rnacentral:rRNA from 1 species